UUCGCAACGGUACGUUUCUUGUCUUUUUCUUUAGUUCCACCUUCUCUAUCUUAAUUUUCUUAUUCACUGCAUUUUUUUUUUUGAGAAUUUGGGGAAGAAACCUCAACUAAAGAUGCUCUUAGACCAUGUUUAUCACGGUCGCUUAAGGUGUUUCUUAAGCAUAUUUAGCAUUAAAAAAAAAGAAGAGAAAACACUUUUAAGCUAAGCAAUGUUCCUUAAUUAAGAGGCAGAAGAACCGGUUCCUCUUGGACACGCGUCAGAGCGAGAGGUGUUUUGGGAGGAGAAAACGAAAGGUGAAAAAAAUCAGUUUCAUUUUCGAAGCUUUCAUCCGCUUUCUCUCUUCGACGGCGAAGAGGCGAAAACCGUUGUCUCGACGAAGCUAAUCGAUGAAAAUCGAAGGUUCUUCUCCUCGACGAAGUGAUUAAACUCCCCGGGUGGUCUCCUCGACGAAGUGAAGCAACAAAUCCGGUUGCGAUCCUCGACGAAGUGAAGAAAGGAAACUGGUUGCGGUCCUCGCCGAAGAAGUGAAUCGAAGCUAACCGAAGGUGGCUCAGUUCGACGGCAAAGCUAAUCGUCAGUUGCUCCUCCGUGGAAUCGAAAGAAUGAGCAAGUGUUGUCAAGCAAAAGGAGGAGAAUAGCAAUACAGAGAAGAUGAAUGCGUCUUCGAACAACAGAGGUCAAAAAUGCUGUGAUCGAGUGGAGAAGUGAGUUGUCUUCUCUAGUCACGGACAAGAAUAAUGCAAGGCAAGCUGUUUGUGUCAUCGAGUGGAGAAGUGUGUUGUCUUUUCUGGUCGCGGACAAGAAUAAUGCAAGGCAAGCUGUUUGUGUCUUCACAUGUUUUUGUAUUGUUGUGGACAGUAGAGAAAACACAUGUCUUUGUAAUGUUGUGGUCAGAAUGUCUUUAAACACAUGUCUUUGUAUUGUUGUGGUCAUGUACUAUAGUGUGGUUCCUUUUCUAUAUAUGUGUUUGAAUCCGCGAAGUUUUAAUUCACAAAGUCAUUCACUCACAAAGACGUUCUUCUCUCCUUCUCACAAAGACAUCACACAAGUUCUUCCUCCUUCUCACAAAGUCAUCACUCGUUCUUCUAUCCUUUUAACAAAGUCUUUAUCUUAUUCUGCUCUCCUUCUCACAAAGACAUCACCCAAGUUCCAAAUUUUAUUCACAAAUAAAUCAAAACACUUUUUUCGUUUUGAUCACAUAUAUGGCAUCUUCUUCUCUUAACACUUUUGAGGGAGUAGAUGUACAUGAUGAAAUGCUUGAUCAACAAUUUGAUCAAACAUUCGAGAAUUUAUCCAUUGGUAAUCAAGAAGAACAAAGGAAAAGAAGGAAAAAACGAGUUCAUAUCGAAAGAAAUCGUGAAGAAGGCGAUGUAGGUUUAUGGAAUGAUUAUUUCAGUGAAACUCCAACAUAUCCUCAAAAUCUAUUCUGACGACGAUUUAGAAUGAACAAGCCAUUGUUCAUGCGUAUUGUCGAUCGACUCUCCAACGAAGUUGAAUUCUUUCGACAAAAGAAAGAUGCUCUCAGAAGGCUUAGCUUCUCUCCACUUCAGAAGUGUAUAGCAGCCAUUCGUGUAUUGGCCUAUGGUAUUGCGGCUGAUGUUGUUGACAAAUAUCUCCGACUCGGUGCAACGACAACUCGGUCAUGUGUGGAACAUUUUGUGAAAGGAAUAAUAUAUUUAUUCGGCGAUGAGUACCUAAGAAGACCGACACCGGCUGAUCUUCAACGUCUACUUCAUAUUGGUGAGCAACGUGGAUUUCCGGGGACGAUAGGAAGCAUCGAUUGUACGCAUUGGGAGUGGAAGAAUUGUCUCACCGCUUGGAAAAGUCAAUAUUCACGUGGUUCGGCAAAACCCACAAUCGUUUUAGAGGCGGUUGCUUCGUAUGAUCUAUGGAUAUGGCAUGCGUUUUUUGGACCUCCAGAGUUCCAACAAGGAGAAGACACCGGAAGUUCACAUGUCGAUCUCAAUUUUUCUACAGAUAUGCCGACAAAUAUCGCCAAUAUGAUGGGUGUUCGAACUAGAAUUCGUGAUAGACCAAUGUACUAACAACUGAAAGAUGAUUUGUUUGAACAUAUAUGGCGUAAAUUUGGACGUGAUGGAGACAAUUACUGAGCUCAGAUGUUUUUUUCAAAUUAUUCUCGAUUAUUGUACCAAUCUUUAUUUUUAUGUUUUAAUUUUAAAAUCUAUGUUUAAAAUGUUAUCUUUUGAUAAGUUUUAUUUAAUAAAUCAAUUUUAUCUUUAUAAAACAAAGUUUAAUAAUUUUGUUUUAAGAACCCCUUAAUAAGAAACUUGUAUUGGAACAAAACAAAAUGGUGUCUCUUAUGACAGUCUCUUAUAUCACUUUUACUAAUUAAAAAUGUUUAAGAGCCCCAAAGUGAGUAUAUGAGUUAAUCAUGCUCUUGAGGGCAUAAAAACACAUGUUAGUUUCUCAAAAAUUAUAUAAAAAAAAAAUUGUUGUAUAUUUAUUUUUAAUAUCAUGAAAAUAUAUAAACCAAUAGAUUUUAGACAAGUGUAGAAUUGCUGUUUUAAUAACUAGUGAGAGUUUCUUUAUAAAGAGAUUCACUCUCUUUUCUCUCUUAAUUUUCAUUUAUUUAUAUUUCCUUAAUUAUGAGAGACUCUUUGAGAGAUUUGUCAAUGCUAGUGCUUAGAGUCUGAAACCAUUAAUAUCCGCAAAGUAU